rnacentral:rRNA from 1 species
UUAACACAUGCAAGUCGAACGGGCUCUUCGGAGCUAGUGGCGGACGGGUGAGUAACGCGUGAGAAUCUGCCUUCAGGAGGGGGAUAACGACUGGAAACGGUCGCUAAUACCCCAUAUGCCUCCGGGUGAAAAGUAAUUCGCCUGAAGAUGAGCUCGCGUCAGAUUAGCUAGUUGGUGGGGUAAGAGCCUACCAAGGCGACGAUCUGUAGCUGGUCUGAGAGGAUGAUCAGCCACAGUAGGACUGAGACACGGCCCAGACUCCUACGGGAGGCAGCAGUGGGGAAUUUUCCGCAAUGGGCGCAAGCCUGACGGAGCAAGACCGCGUGGGGGAUGACGGCCUAAUGGUUGUAAACCCCUUUGCUCUGGGAAGAAGACUGACGGUACCAGAGGAAUCAGCCUCGGCUAACUCCGUGCCAGCAGACGCGGUAAUACGGAGGAGGCAAGCGUUAUCCGGAAUUAUUGGGCGUAAAGCGUACGUAGGUGGUUAUUCAAGUCUGCUGUCAAAGAGUGGGGCUUAACUCCAUAGAGGCAGUGGAAACUGAGUGACUAGAGUGCGGUAAGGGUCAAGGGAAUUCCAAGUGUAGCGGUGAAAUGCGUAGAUAUAGGGAAGAACACCAAUGGCGAAAGCGCUCGACUGGGCCUGCACUGACACUGAGGGACGAAAGCUAGGGGAGCGAAAGGGAUUAGAUACCCCUGUAGUCCUAGCCGUA